ensembl:lncRNA
CAGGGAUGGCUAACUGGAAGUUCCUUUGGUCUCGAGCAGAGUUAGGGCUCAUCUGUAAAAUAUACCUUGGUCUCAGUAUGACGACCUGAUAGAGGUUAAAUAAAACAUUUAAAAAUGGACUUCUCACUCGACUGCUGUGUGUCUAUGAUUUUACCAUCGACAGCCAUCGACAUCAUUAAGCCCUGCACAACUAACAUGCUGUUUCCUAUUUAACAACAGAUCAUAAAUAACGCUCAACUGGGACCACUGGCUGCGGUGAUUUAUUUGGACAAAACACAAUGCAAGGAGAGUACGAUUAACAUCUGCUAUCACCGGUGUCAUGACCCGGAUCAACAGCAUCAAUGUAACAGUUUCGCUUGCAUCCCUCUCCUUGCCCCUACCUGGGCUCGACCCAGGGACCCUCUCUCUGCACACAUCAACAACUGCCUCCCACGAAGCAUCGUUAAUCGUCGCUCCACAAAAGCCGCGGCCCUUGCAGAGCAAGGGGAACAUCUACUUCAAGGUCGCAGAGCAAGUGAUGUCACCGAUUUAAACGCUAUUUAGAGCGCACCCCGCUAAUUAGUUAGCCAUUUCACAUUGGCUACACCGGCGGUCCCCAGUGGCAAUAAAUUAGUCAAACCAAAAGCUUACCUUGACUUGGAAGAGUUCUAGUGUUGCGUUG